rnacentral:rRNA from 1 species
AGUGAACGCUGGCGGUAGGCCUAACACAUGCAAGUCGAACGGCAGCACAGGAGAGCUUGCUCUCUGGGUGGCGAGUGGCGGACGGGUGAGGAAUACAUCGGAAUCUACUUUUUCGUGGGGGAUAACGUAGGGAAACUUACGCUAAUACCGCAUACGACCUACGGGUGAAAGCAGGGGACCUUCGGGCCUUGCGCGAUUGAAUGAGCCGAUGUCGGAUUAGCUAGUUGGCGGGGUAAAGGCCCACCGAGGCGACGAUGCGUAGCUGGUCUGAGAGGAUGAUCAGCCAAACUGGAACUGAGACGCGGUCCAGACUCCUACGGGGGGCAGCAGUGGGGAAUAUUGGACAAUGGGCGCAAGCCUGAUCCAGCCAUACCGCGUGGGUGAAGAAGGCCUUCGGGUUGUAAAGCCCUUUUGUUGGGAAAGAAAUCCAGCUGGCUAAUACCCGGUUGGGAUGACGGUACCCAAAGAAUAAGCACCGGCUAACUUCGUGCCAGCCGCCGCGGUAA